GACUGGUCUAAACUUUCCUGGACUUGUUUUGCUCAUUCUGAAGCGCGCGAUGAUUGGCUGACCGGCACCAGAGGUUUGUGCUCUUUGGCGCCUACCGGAUCUGUGUGGAUGGAGCUACUCCGGUUGCCUCUGCUGUCAUUAGGCUCUAAGGCACCCUGCUGAGGCCGCGUUAUUGUAAAGGGACAGGCUGGUACGGACGUACACUGUAGCUGUCUUCAGAUGCACCAGAAGAGGGCAUCAGAUCUCAUUAUCUUUGGAAGAGCAGUCGGUGCUCUUAACCACUGAGCCAUCUCUCCAGCCCACGUAUAGUCUGAGCCUUACUUAUCCCAGCAUGUUGCUAACCUAUGGAGGCCAAGAUGGCUAAGGGCCACCAAGCUAGGAUUUCCGGGGACCCAGGGUAUCUGUAGCCCCAGUUUGCUGGAAGACACAUGAAUAGCUGGCCACAACUGAGGGCAUUUGAGCCUUGCAGUGAAUCCUGUAAGCUUCCUCUCUGCUAGGAAAGCCAACUCCUGCUUUUGUUUGAAACUUGGUAUGAAAGCCAUAUUGGAUGUGGAACUGGAAGAAUCACAAUAUGUUUAAGUGUAUCCUCAAGAGAUGACACUACUCAGCCCUGUAGUGGUCCCUGACAAUCCUGUGGCCAGUGACUUCUUGAAGGCACAGAGCUAGGAACAGAGGAUGUGCUUCAAGUCUGGCCACAGCUCUCUCUUGUGCUGCCGAUGCUCUGUGGGAUGACAUCUGGCUCAGGAUCAGAUCAGCCGGGUCCACUGUCCAUACUGGAAGGAACAUUGACAUCCAAGGAUGCCUCUGCAGUUGCAUUGGGAGCCAACGGUCUCAGCACCUAGUCAUAGCCAGUAUCUUCCCUUCAUGAAGGUAUUUGCAACUUUGCUGCUCAUUCCUGGCAGCCUGGAAGUCCUCAUUGCUGCUCAACCCUGUUGGCUUUCUUCCCCCCCCCCCCAGGGGAGCUUAGUGUCAUAUGUAAACAUAGACAGGUCCCUGGGGUCUCUCUGGAUAAGCACUGGAAAGAAGCUCAAUCCGCCAGGCUAGCUGCAGUACCAGCUGGGACAGUUCCCCAUCCAAAGACUAAGGCCUGUCUGUGUGCACAGCAGGAUGGGGUCUGGGACUGUGGUUCCAGAGACCUGACUUCAGGAGUGGAAACCUGCAUGCUGACUCCUGCCUGCAGGCACUGACAGACACACAUGGUCCACUUUGUGCAUAUCACCUUGAUUGUUUUUCAUGUCCAUCAUAGAAAAGAGUGAUUAAAAAUGAAAGAAAGG
ensembl:processed_transcript D330041H03Rik RIKEN cDNA D330041H03 gene